CCAGUCCCCGCCCCUCCUCGCCUUGGAGACCGCCGCGCGAGGAACGGACCGGAGCCGGCCGCACUCUUUGCUGCGGGUGUGGCUGGUUCUCCCCCGUUCCGGGCGCGGCGGGCCGGCGGCUACCGAGUGCGUGCUUCACUCCUGCACGCACAGCUUGUGCUCUAUCGAGUAGGAUCCGCCGACGGGGAUUGAAAAUGGGGGAGUAGCUGCAGGAGGCGACCCCGCAACAGUGAGCUUCCACCUGUCCCCGCAGCUUGGCGCUGAGCAAGUCAGGCACGCCCACACGUACCGAGAACCACCACUAGGCAGGGUUUUUUUUUUUUGGUGGUGUGAAAAGGCGGAAUUAGAAAUGAACCAAAAACCAUUCACAGAUUAACAUUUUGAGACACUUCAUGAUGCCUGAUUCACCUUUGAAGUAAUGUGGAGAGAAGUUCUCAAAUUUGCAUAUUACAUCAACUGGAACCAGUGGCAUUAUCUUAAUGUUCACUUAAGUCAGAACUUCUUCAGGAAAAACAAUGGGAGUCUGGUUAAAUAAAGAUGCCUAUAUCAGAGACUUGAAAAGGGUCAUUCUCUGUUUUCUAUUAGUGUAUAUGGCCAUUUUAGUGGGUACAGAUCAGGAUUUUUACAGUUUACUUGGAGUAUCCAAAACUGCAAGCAGUAGAGAAAUAAGACAAGCUUUCAAGAAACUGGCAUUGAAGCUACACCCUGAUAAAAACCCGAAUAACCCAAACGCACACAGUGAUUUUUUGAAAAUAAAUAAAGCAUAUGAAGUACUCAAAGAUGAAGAUCUGCGGAAAAAGUAUGACAAAUAUGGAGAAAAGGGACUUGCAGAUAAUCAAGGAGGAGGCCAGUAUGAAAGCUGGAAUUAUUAUCGUUAUGAUUUUGGCAUUUAUGACGAUGAUCCUGAAAUCAUAACAUUGGAUAGAAGUGAAUUUGAUGCUGCUGUUAAUUCUGGAGAACUGUGGUUUGUGAACUUUUACUCUUCAGGUUGUUCGCACUGCCAUGAUUUAGCUCCCACAUGGAGAGACUUUGCUAGAGAAGUGGAUGGAUUGCUUCGAAUUGGAGCUGUUAAUUGUGGCGACGAUAGGAUGCUUUGCCGAAUGAAAGGAGUCAGCAGUUAUCCCAGCCUCUUCAUUUUUAGGUCUGGAAUGGCUGCGGUAAAGUACCACGGUGACAGAUCAAAGGAAAGUUUGGUGAAUUUCGCUAUGCAGUAUGUUAGAAGCACAGUGACAGAAUUAUGGACAGGAAAUUUCGUUAACUCCAUUCAAACAGCGUUUGCUGCUGGUAUUGGCUGGCUGAUCACUUUUUGUUCCAAAGGAGGAGAUUGUUUGACUUCACAGACACGUCUCAGGUUAAGUGGUAUGUUGGAUGGUCUUGUUAAUGUAGGAUGGAUGGACUGUGCCACCCAGGACAACCUUUGUAAAAGUUUAGAUAUUACAACAAGUACUACUGCCUAUUUUCCUCCUGGAGCCACUUUAAAUAACAAAGAGAAAAGCAGUAUUUUGUUUCUUAAUUCUUUGGAUGCUAAAGAAAUAUAUUUGGAAAUAAUGCAUAAUCUUCCAGAUUUUGAACUACUUUCAGCAAACACACUAGAGGAUCGUUUGGCUCAUCAUCGGUGGCUCUUAUUUUUUUACUUUGGAAAAAAUGAAUUUUCAAAUGAUCCUGAGUUGAAGAAACUAAAAACUCUACUUAAAAAUGAACAUAUUCAAGUUGGCAAGUUUGACUGUUCCUCUGCACCAGACAUCUGUAGUAAUCUCUAUGUUUUUCAGCCAUGUCUAGCAGUAUUUAAAGGACAGGGAACCAAAGAAUUUGAAAUUCAUCAUGGAAAGAAGAUUUUAUAUGAUAUACUUGCCUUUGCCAAAGAAAGUGUUAAUUCUCAUGUUACCACACUUGGACCUCAAAAUUUUCCCACCAGUGACAAAGAACCAUGGCUAGUUGAUUUUUUUGCUCCUUGGUGUCCACCAUGUCGAGCUUUAUUGCCAGAGUUACGAAAAGCAUCAAAGCAUCUUUAUGGUCAGCUUAAGUUUGGUACACUAGAUUGUACAGUUCACGAGGGACUCUGUAACAUGUAUAACAUUCAAGCUUAUCCAACAACAGUGGUGUUCAACCAGUCCAACAUUCAUGAGUAUGAAGGUCAUCACUCUGCUGAACAGAUCUUGGAGUUCGUAGAGGAUCUUAUGAAUCCUUCAGUGGUCUCCUUGACACCCACCACUUUUGAUGAACUAGUUAGACAAAGAAAACCUGACGAAGUCUGGAUGGUUGAUUUCUAUUCUCCAUGGUGUCAUCCAUGUCAAGUCUUAAUGCCAGAAUGGAAAAGAAUGGCCCGGACAUUAACUGGACUGAUCAAUGUGGGCAGUAUAGACUGCCAGCAAUAUCAUUCUUUAUGUGCCCAAGAAAAUGUUCGGAGAUAUCCUGAGAUAAGAUUUUUUCCCCAAAAAUCAAAUAAAGCUUAUCAGUAUCAUAGUUACAAUGGUUGGAAUAGGGAUGCUUAUUCCCUGAGAAUCUGGGGUCUAGGAUUUUUACCUCAAGCAUCUAUAGAUCUAACACCUCAGACUUUCAAUGAAAAAGUUUUACAAGGGAAAAGCCACUGGGUGGUUGAUUUCUAUGCUCCUUGGUGUGGACCUUGCCAAAACUUUGCUCCAGAGUUUGAGCUCUUAGCUAGGAUGGUUAAAGAAAAAGUGAAAGCUGGAAAAGUAGACUGUCAGGCUUAUGCCCAAACCUGCCAGAAAGCUGGUAUCAGAGCCUAUCCAACUGUUAAAUUUUAUCCCUAUGAAGGGACAAGGGUACGUAUAGGCUUUCCUCUGUGUGCCUUUCCUUUCACAGGCCAAGCUCAGAAGGUUUGCUUUUCGUCUGAGUUAUGCUUUUAUCCAGUCUCUUUCCCUUUGUCAUUUUUUAUUUUAUUGCAUGUAACUGAAACAAGCUUCUUUUUAUGUAUACACCAAGUGAUUUUAAAAGAUUUUCUGUCUCAAAGUUCAUAUGAUCUUCAUUGCGUUAAAAUUUUUAUACUCAUGAAUAGGGAAACUACUAAAGAGACAUUCCAAAAUACUAAUAAUGGUUUUCUGUGGGUGACAGAAUUCAAGGUGAUGAUUUUGUGUAAAAUUUUGUAUUUUCCACUUUCAUAGAAUUAACAUUAUUAUAUUUCUAAUUUUCUUUCUUGUAAAAACUAAGAAUAUACUGUCAUAAUACUUUUGAAAUAGCCUUAGUAUCUGAGCAUUUACCUUUAUUAGUUUAGACUGUAAAAGCUAAGAGUUCCUUGGUUUAGUCAUAAUUUCUUCUUUGGGCUACUGAUAAUAACUUUUUUCUUCUCAACAAAAAAACUAGACGUCUACCAGUAGGUCUUAAAAUUCAGAUAAUAGGAGUUCCCUGGUGGCUCAGUGGGUUACGGAUCUGGUGUUGUUGCUGCUGUGGUGCGAGUUCAGUCUCUGGGAACUUCCUCAUGGCUCAGGCAAGACCAAAGGGGGGAAAAAAAUUCAGGUGAUAACCUCUCCUGUGUCAUUGAUACAAAGGUGUAUGUUUUUCAGUCAUUAUAAUUGCUAAUUGAGAGGACUUGUUAACCUUUGCUGUCCUCCCAAGUAAAAGAAUAAGACAUUUUUGACAUUAGAACUGUAAUAUGACAAAUAUUUGCCUUGUAUUCAUGUUUCCUAGUAAAACAUUGAAAUAAUUUCAAAUAUUUUAAAUAAUGCUUUUUUGAAAAAGGAUAUCAGAUUAAGAUCUUAUCUAUUUGUGACCAUAAUUUAUUUUGAUAUAAAGCUAAAGGAAUUAGACAAUUUCAGGAAUCUAGACUUGUCAUCAGACAUCUAGAUUUUUUCAGUGAAGCAUUUUGAUUUAUGAGGAAGCUACCUCUGUCUUAAGAACAGCCUGGGGUAAGCAGAACUAAAUGAGAAUAAAGGAGUUUUAUAUCAGAUCCUAAGUCUUCAUUCCUUUGGAAUCACUAGCUUCCCAAUUCUCAGAACACGUAGGAAAUAUAUGACAUGAUAGAUGACAUUCUACCCUAUUCAGGUAGAAUGAUGUUAAGGAAGUAUCAAUAUAAUGAGCAGUCACAGAACUAACAAGGUGAUACAGGGAGCUGUUUAAAAACGUGGUGUUACCACAUGUCCGCUGGAGCCUGGAGGACAAGAUUAGGACCCAAAAUACCCCUGUCCAAACAGAAAGGCAGGGUUGGCAUCCAGAAGUCCAUCAGAUAAGGCCAAAGCAGAAUAAGGACUGAAGUGAGAAAUACAAACCAGGUGAGCAAUUUUACAGAAAAACAAAAUCCUAGUAUACAGUUUGGAGUUCCCACCAGGAAGAAGGAAACAACAGGUGGCUCCAGAUCCAAAAUAAGCAGGUCUGGAUGUAUUGACCUGUCCCUUGCCCAGCUUUUUAACCACCUUUCUGCUGUGUGCAGAUAAGAACCAGGAAGUAUAUAUAUUGCUUUCCAUUGUUACAGUUGGGCAGGGUUUUGUCUAUGCCAGUGACUGUAGAUUAGAAUAAUUUGAGUAUUCUGGGGACAUUUUAUUCUACUUUGAGGCAUUUGGAGUUAGCAAUGUAUUUUAACCAAGGAAUUAAUUUACAUGUUUCCAUAAUGGUAUUGUUAGUAGUUAUUUCAGGUAAAUUAUUGGUUAACUGCUUUUGCAGCAGCAGUUACUUAAAUUUGAGUUUUAAACAUUGAAAUUUUAAGGAAUAUUAUCAUCAAGUUUCUUAGAUAAAAAUGUCAUGUUUUGAUGAGAUACUUAAAAAGGUUAUAAGAAUAAUAUUUUUAAUUUUAGAGAAAUAUUUGGGGAGAGCAAAUAGAUUCCAGAGAUGCUAAAGAGAUUACUACCUUAAUAUAUGAAAAAUUGGAAAAUCUCCAAAAUCAUGGAAAGAGAAAUAAGGAUGAACUUUAGUGAAGUUGAAAAUGAAGAUAUUAACAGAUGGUAUCAGAAGAGACCUCUUCAGAAUGUUACUUCAUUCUUGAUGAAAAUAAAUGAACGUUACCUUGGACUUGUAAUUGCACUGCCUGAGUUCUGUACAACUACCGGGUCUGCAGACUUUUCUGUAAAUGUCCAGACCAUAAAUAUUUUAGGCUUUGUAGACCAUAUAUGGUUUUUGUCACAUAUUCUUUGUUUCUGUUUUGUUUACAACCCUUUAAAAAUUGUGGAAACCAUUCUUAGCUCAGGGCCAUACACAAAUAGGCUGGUCACAAGCCACAUUCAGCCCAUGACCACAGAUUGCCGACUCCUGGGAAGAUAUUUAGACUGGCUCAAAUAUGAACCUGCUCUGUGAUCUACAUACACACAGAUUUAUCCAAGUGUAUUUUAUCACAAAGUUUGAGGUUGGCCUGAAAAGACAACUUGGUUUUCAGUUACCUGUUCUAAGAAUUCUCUGAAAUUGAUUCCCUGAUCAUAUAUUUUCAUUUAAAAAACAUACAGUGUGGGAAAGUAAACAGAUACCCUAUUGUCAUGCUAUAUUGUAGUAAAGAGAUUCUUCAUUUUUUUGUUUGUUUGCUUUCUAAAGGUUGAAUUUAUUUUAGUUUUCACUUGAGAAAAAAAUUUUGCAACAAUAAGUAAAGAAAUCCUCUCGAUUUCUACAGCAUCCAUAAGUAUGUAACGGGAAAAAAUAUUUAUAGCAAUUAACUGGGCAUUGUACAGUAUCCCAAAUUAAAGUAUUUUGAGUUCUGUGUUUUAAAGAUAUAUGGUCGUUUUGGAAUUGCUUUCAUAAAGGUUUUCCCUGUGAUAGUAA